rnacentral:siRNA from 1 species
GUAGAUCUCCUACACACUUGCCUC